GGAAAUUUGCUAGCAGGACUCUCUCUUGCUCUGCUGAGAGGCAUUUCUGAGAUGAAAGAAGUGGGCCCUGCCAUUGAACAGAAUUUAUGCAUUUAAAUAUUCAUCAUUUCUGUGAAAAAGAGAAGAAAAAUUAGGUGAUGACGUCAGUCCAUGCUUCGGAAAUAGUUGUUUGCGAGGGAAGACGGCUCAACCAGCAAACACCUAAAGGGCUUUUGAAACUCUCUAAAUACAAGUUUUUAGAAACGACGAGGCAUUGAAAACUUACCACAUGACCUUGUGCAAGUUGCUUAACACCACUAAGCCGCCCUGUCUUCUCAGUUUUAAUCGGGGAUAAUAUUGCAUCCUCUUAAAGAGUUUUUUUGAGAGGAUUUGAUGAGAAACUAUGUAAGUCACUUAGUAUGCUGCCUGGAAUGUAGCAAGAACUUGAUCAAUGAUAAACUAUUAUGGAAGUUUUUUUGUUUUAUUUUU
rnacentral:lncRNA from 1 species